UCAAUGAAGCUCCUCUCUGCCUUGCUCACCCUCCACUUGUCCGUGUACCUCAUUCUUGUCGUGGAACAAGACCCUGGGACCCAGUGAAUGGUGGGACUGAAAGAGCGGUAACACAAACAGGGCUGAAACAUGCCCACCGCUCGCCACUUUGUGGGCGACGAGGAGAAACGAACUGCUGUGGCCCUUCAGGAAUCCCAGACCUAGAGACUCCUGAGCCAGGGCUGUGACACCCUCUUUGGGGCUCCGCAGUUUCUGGUGUCUCCAAGCUUCCGGGUGCCAUCGUAUUUCCCAGUGCCUGCAGUGGAAGCCAUUUGUGGUAACGCCUGGUCCAGCCAGUCUCACACGGAACCCACGCCUGUGCUGGCGCCUGGAGCUGCCUGCCCAGUGGCAGCAAGCACGCAUGGCUGUGUGCAGUGGCCAGACCCCAUGCUUAUUAACACACCCCUUGCUACUCCUCACCAGGCUCGCCCUUGGCAGGUGUGGGAUCCAGGUCAGUAUUAUGAGCCAAAUACAGCCUGCUGGGGCGAGUGAGCAGAAGAGGCCAGCGGGCCCGUGUAAAACUCAGGCAAAGGCACCACCAGCCGCAGAGGUUUCCAACUGAAAAAGUGACACGGUUUGAUCUUCGCAGUGGCCUGUGGCUAAGACUGAUAUUAAAGGAAGAAUUAAAAUCCUGAAUCAAUCAUGAACUUUAAAGUUAAGAUGAAUUCAAGGAUAUCAAACUUGACUGCAUAAGAGAGUAUCAUGUUUGGAGAGAAGAAAUAAUUUUAUUGCGAGACACAAAGUGGUGUCUGUCACUUAAAUCCUUCACCAAUCUACCUCCUGUACUCGUGGAAAAAAAGGAAUCAGUCGGUCCUGCUACAGAUUGAAUGUUCACAUUCUCCAAAAACUUAAUUGCUGAAAUCUUAACCCCUAAUUUGAUGGCAUUAGGAAGUGGAGUCGUUGGAGGUGAUAAGGUCAUGAGAACAGAUCCCUCAUGAAUGGCAUUAGUGCCCGUAUAAAAGAGUCCUCAGAGAACUCCCUCAUCCAUUUCACCAUUUGAAGACACAGCAAGAAGAUCGUAAUCAAUAAACUAGAAAGUUGGCCCUUACCAGAUAUUGAAUCUACUGGCACCUUGAUCUUGGACUUUCCAGCCUUCAGAACUGUGAGGAAUAAAUUUCUGUUGUUUACAAG
rnacentral:lncRNA from 1 species